rnacentral:rRNA from 1 species
UACGAAGGGGGCUAGCGUUGCUCGGAAUGACUGGGCGUAAAGGGCGCGUAGGCGGAUGGCACAGUCAGAUGUGAAAUUCCCGGGCUUAACCUGGGGGCUGCAUUUGAUACGUGUUGUCUAGAGUGAGGAAGAGGGUUGUGGAAUUCCCAGUGUAGAGGUGAAAUUCGUAGAUAUUGGGAAGAACUCCGGUGGCGAAGGCGGCAACCUGGUCCUUGACUGACGCUGAGGCGCGAAAGCGUGGGGAGCAAACAGG